GAUGAACGCUAGCUACAGGCUUAACACAUGCAAGUCGAGGGGCAGCAUGAACUUAGCUUGCUAAGUUUGAUGGCGACCGGCGCACGGGUGAGUAACACGUAUCCAACCUGCCGAUGACUCGGGGAUAGCCUUUCGAAAGAAAGAUUAAUACCCGAUGGCAUAGUUCUUCCGCAUGGUAGAACUAUUAAAGAAUUUCGGUCAUCGAUGGGGAUGCGUUCCAUUAGGUUGUUGGCGGGGUAACGGCCCACCAAGCCUUCGAUGGAUAGGGGUUCUGAGAGGAAGGUCCCCCACAUUGGAACUGAGACACGGUCCAAACUCCUACGGGAGGCAGCAGUGAGGAAUAUUGGUCAAUGGACGAGAGUCUGAACCAGCCAAGUAGCGUGAAGGAUGACUGCCCUAUGGGUUGUAAACUUCUUUUAUACGGGAAUAAAGUGAGGCACGUGUGCCUUUUUGUAUGGACCGUAUGAAUAAGGAUCGGCUAACUCCGU
rnacentral:rRNA from 1 species